GGAUGCGAUCAUACCAGCACUAAAGCACCGGAUCCCAUCAGAACUCCGAAGUUAAGCGUGCUUGGGCGAGAGUUGUACUAGGAUGGGUGACCUCCUGGGAAGUCCUCGUGUUGCAUUCC
rnacentral:rRNA from 2 species